ncrna:23S rRNA from Escherichia coli (PDB 5H5T, chain A)
GGUUAAGCGACUAAGCGUACACGGUGGAUGCCCUGGCAGUCAGAGGCGAUGAAGGACGUGCUAAUCUGCGAUAAGCGUCGGUAAGGUGAUAUGAACCGUUAUAACCGGCGAUUUCCGAAUGGGGAAACCCAGUGUGUUUCGACACACUAUCAUUAACUGAAUCCAUAGGUUAAUGAGGCGAACCGGGGGAACUGAAACAUCUAAGUACCCCGAGGAAAAGAAAUCAACCGAGAUUCCCCCAGUAGCGGCGAGCGAACGGGGAGCAGCCCAGAGCCUGAAUCAGUGUGUGUGUUAGUGGAAGCGUCUGGAAAGGCGCGCGAUACAGGGUGACAGCCCCGUACACAAAAAUGCACAUGCUGUGAGCUCGAUGAGUAGGGCGGGACACGUGGUAUCCUGUCUGAAUAUGGGGGGACCAUCCUCCAAGGCUAAAUACUCCUGACUGACCGAUAGUGAACCAGUACCGUGAGGGAAAGGCGAAAAGAACCCCGGCGAGGGGAGUGAAAAAGAACCUGAAACCGUGUACGUACAAGCAGUGGGAGCACGCUUAGGCGUGUGACUGCGUACCUUUUGUAUAAUGGGUCAGCGACUUAUAUUCUGUAGCAAGGUUAACCGAAUAGGGGAGCCGAAGGGAAACCGAGUCUUAACUGGGCGUUAAGUUGCAGGGUAUAGACCCGAAACCCGGUGAUCUAGCCAUGGGCAGGUUGAAGGUUGGGUAACACUAACUGGAGGACCGAACCGACUAAUGUUGAAAAAUUAGCGGAUGACUUGUGGCUGGGGGUGAAAGGCCAAUCAAACCGGGAGAUAGCUGGUUCUCCCCGAAAGCUAUUUAGGUAGCGCCUCGUGAAUUCAUCUCCGGGGGUAGAGCACUGUUUCGGCAAGGGGGUCAUCCCGACUUACCAACCCGAUGCAAACUGCGAAUACCGGAGAAUGUUAUCACGGGAGACACACGGCGGGUGCUAACGUCCGUCGUGAAGAGGGAAACAACCCAGACCGCCAGCUAAGGUCCCAAAGUCAUGGUUAAGUGGGAAACGAUGUGGGAAGGCCCAGACAGCCAGGAUGUUGGCUUAGAAGCAGCCAUCAUUUAAAGAAAGCGUAAUAGCUCACUGGUCGAGUCGGCCUGCGCGGAAGAUGUAACGGGGCUAAACCAUGCACCGAAGCUGCGGCAGCGACGCUUAUGCGUUGUUGGGUAGGGGAGCGUUCUGUAAGCCUGCGAAGGUGUGCUGUGAGGCAUGCUGGAGGUAUCAGAAGUGCGAAUGCUGACAUAAGUAACGAUAAAGCGGGUGAAAAGCCCGCUCGCCGGAAGACCAAGGGUUCCUGUCCAACGUUAAUCGGGGCAGGGUGAGUCGACCCCUAAGGCGAGGCCGAAAGGCGUAGUCGAUGGGAAACAGGUUAAUAUUCCUGUACUUGGUGUUACUGCGAAGGGGGGACGGAGAAGGCUAUGUUGGCCGGGCGACGGUUGUCCCGGUUUAAGCGUGUAGGCUGGUUUUCCAGGCAAAUCCGGAAAAUCAAGGCUGAGGCGUGAUGACGAGGCACUACGGUGCUGAAGCAACAAAUGCCCUGCUUCCAGGAAAAGCCUCUAAGCAUCAGGUAACAUCAAAUCGUACCCCAAACCGACACAGGUGGUCAGGUAGAGAAUACCAAGGCGCUUGAGAGAACUCGGGUGAAGGAACUAGGCAAAAUGGUGCCGUAACUUCGGGAGAAGGCACGCUGAUAUGUAGGUGAGGUCCCUCGCGGAUGGAGCUGAAAUCAGUCGAAGAUACCAGCUGGCUGCAACUGUUUAUUAAAAACACAGCACUGUGCAAACACGAAAGUGGACGUAUACGGUGUGACGCCUGCCCGGUGCCGGAAGGUUAAUUGAUGGGGUUAGCGCAAGCGAAGCUCUUGAUCGAAGCCCCGGUAAACGGCGGCCGUAACCAUAACGGUCCUAAGGUAGCGAAAUUCCUUGUCGGGUAAGUUCCGACCUGCACGAAUGGCGUAAUGAUGGCCAGGCUGUCUCCACCCGAGACUCAGUGAAAUUGAACUCGCUGUGAAGAUGCAGUGUACCCGCGGCAAGACGGAAAGACCCCGUGAACCUUUACUAUAGCUUGACACUGAACAUUGAGCCUUGAUGUGUAGGAUAGGUGGGAGGCUUUGAAGUGUGGACGCCAGUCUGCAUGGAGCCGACCUUGAAAUACCACCCUUUAAUGUUUGAUGUUCUAACGUUGACCCGUAAUCCGGGUUGCGGACAGUGUCUGGUGGGUAGUUUGACUGGGGCGGUCUCCUCCUAAAGAGUAACGGAGGAGCACGAAGGUUGGCUAAUCCUGGUCGGACAUCAGGAGGUUAGUGCAAUGGCAUAAGCCAGCUUGACUGCGAGCGUGACGGCGCGAGCAGGUGCGAAAGCAGGUCAUAGUGAUCCGGUGGUUCUGAAUGGAAGGGCCAUCGCUCAACGGAUAAAAGGUACUCCGGGGAUAACAGGCUGAUACCGCCCAAGAGUUCAUAUCGACGGCGGUGUUUGGCACCUCGAUGUCGGCUCAUCACAUCCUGGGGCUGAAGUAGGUCCCAAGGGUAUGGCUGUUCGCCAUUUAAAGUGGUACGCGAGCUGGGUUUAGAACGUCGUGAGACAGUUCGGUCCCUAUCUGCCGUGGGCGCUGGAGAACUGAGGGGGGCUGCUCCUAGUACGAGAGGACCGGAGUGGACGCAUCACUGGUGUUCGGGUUGUCAUGCCAAUGGCACUGCCCGGUAGCUAAAUGCGGAAGAGAUAAGUGCUGAAAGCAUCUAAGCACGAAACUUGCCCCGAGAUGAGUUCUCCCUGACCCUUUAAGGGUCCUGAAGGAACGUUGAAGACGACGACGUUGAUAGGCCGGGUGUGUAAGCGCAGCGAUGCGUUGAGCUAACCGGUACUAAUGAACCGUGAGGCUUAACCU